GAAAAGGCUCUGAAACAGAUCCAAGAUGUUGUUUGAGCCAUGCAACUAGAAGAUCUCAUAGAACUAAAGUUAUCUAAUUUACAGAAAAGGUUUUACGUGACGUCUAUUGUACAGAUUCAUAUGAAAACCAUAGUUCAAACUCCAAGGUUUAAGAAGUAAGAAAGAUCAUGCCAUUUGCAACAAACAUGCAUGCAUAUUUGAAAAGCAACUGUAAGUAUGCUAUUGGACAUUGGUAAAGAUUGAAUAUCUGACCAUGGCAUAUCAAGAAACCAUGGAAUGAGUACUGCUUAUCAAGAUCUGGGUGUGAGAAGACUUAAAAAGUCAGAUAGUCAGUGAGAACCAGCUAGAAUCCAUGUGAAAAAGUGGGAAGAUGAAGUGUUUGGAGGGCUUUUAAAUGGAGUAAAAUGGAAACAAAGACAAGUUAUCCCAACACCAAAAAGAGUAGGGGAUAGAAGGAUAUGUCAAGGUUUGAAAACCAUCCUUCAGAAAUGCAGGAAAGUCAAAGCUAGAAAUUUCUUUUAUGGUACCCAGGAUUUGUUUUAAUUAAGUUUGAUAAGGCACACAGGCACGAACGUGAUUGUGGUUAAUAAAGGCAUUUGCAUUAUUCUCACGGUCUCCUAAAAAUAGAAGGCCCAGCACACUAUGCCUGGGAAGUAUCUGCAUGAGAUGAGCAGGCAGAGAGGAGAGCUGAGGGCAGGGCCUUGACUGGAGUUUUUGUUGGGAGGAAUGGACAAUGGAAAGCACGCAAGCCAAAUCUGUUGUGGGAAAACUAGAAGACCAAAAAAAGCACGAAAGUCAAGAAAGAAGUCUCUUUUCACAUGAAAGUGGCCUGAAGACAAAUACUGCUAUGAAUGGUUACAUCUAGGACUUCUGAAAUUAGCCCCAGAUUCAACUCAUUUUUUUCUGCAUUUGCUGAGCAAUAUGACAUGUUUACACCGAUUAGCUAAAAAGUUAUGUGAAGAAUGGGCAACAAUAUCUCUAAGUAACUAGGAGACCAUGUCCCUUGGCAUAAGUAUUGAUCUUCAAUAAUUUGUCCUUGAUAUUGAGAGAAGAGGAUCAAACUAUUUGAACCGGAUUGCUGUACUUCAACAUGUAAAGUGAAAAUGCAGACCCAGUUGACUAUAUUUCACUCAUUUGGGCCAAAGAAGCAGAAGUUUAUUAACAAAGAAGGAGAAUAACAAAAGAAAUAUAAGAUGGAAAGAAAAGCAAAAAGAAAGAAAACUAAAGAAAAAGCAAAAGAAAGAAUACUAAAUCUGAAAUACAUUUUCGUCCCCAAAUCAAGUUGAAACUAUCUCCUAUUACAUCUAUAUUGUUCAUCACUAGAAGCAGAAAAAUAGACUAUUACAGCAUAAAAUAGAGAACAAAAAGAAAGUUACAGCAGUGCCUGCGUG
rnacentral:lncRNA from 1 species